CAGUAGCCGCGGGAAUACGGAGGGUGCAAGCGUUAAUCGGAAUUACUGGGCGUAAAGCGCACGCAGGCGGUCUGUCAAGUCAGAUGUGAAAUCCCCGGGCUUAACCUGGGAACUGCAUUUGAAACUGGCAGGCUAGAGUCUUGUAGAGGGGGGUAGAAUUCCAGGUGUAGCGGUGAAAUGCGUAGAGAUCUGGAGGAAUACCGGUGGCGAAGGCAGCCCCCUGGGCCAAUACUGAUGCUCAUGCACGAAAGCGUGGGGAGCAAACAGGAUUAGAUACCCCGGUAGUCCCUGUCUCUUAUAC
rnacentral:rRNA from 1 species